rnacentral:rRNA from 1 species
CGCGCAGGCGGUCGAUCAAGUCGAGUGUGAAAGCCCCCGGCUCAACUGGGGGAGGGUCAUUCGAUACUGAUCGACUCGAAGGCAGGAGAGGGUAGUGGAAUUCCCGGUGUAGUGGUGAAAUGCGUAGAUAUCGGGAGGAACACCAGUGGCGAAGGCGACUACCUGGCCUGUUCUUGACGCUGAGGCGCGAAAGCUAGGGAGCAAACG